rnacentral:tRNA from 4 species
AGGGUAGUAGCACAAUGGCAGUGCAGCGGUCUCCAAAACCGCCUAUGGGGGUUCGAUUCCCUCCUACCCUGCCA